UUCGCGUAGGAGAACCUGGAGAUUCAUCAUUA
rnacentral:rRNA from 1 species